UACGUAGGGUGCAAGCGUUAAUCGGAAUUACUGGGCGUAAAGCGUGCGCAGGCGGUUCGUCAAGUUCGUUGUGAAAGCCCGGGGCUCAACCCCGGGAUGCCGCCCGAGACUGGGAGGCUUGAGGUCGGAAGAGGGGAGUGGAAUUCCAGGUGUAGCGGUGAAAUGCGUAGAGAUCUGGAGGAACACCCGUGGCGAAGGCGGGUCUCUGGGCAACAACUGACGCUGAGGAGCGAAAGCGUGGGGAGCGAACAGG
rnacentral:rRNA from 1 species